AGGUAUAGUUGUACGCUUAGACAGAGUAGAAAUAGCUCCCUCCACCUUUUAGAAGGUAUGUGUAAAGCUGUUUGUGACUGUGCUAAUACUGGAAGUAACUGGAAGCUGAUAUUUGGCAAAGGGACAAAGUUGUCUGUCCUUCCUAAGAUUGAAGAUUCAGUAAAACCUACUGUAAAUAUCAUAAAAAAUAAGGAACAACCACCUAAGAGUGCAUGCGUAGCCACUGGUUAUCCCUCUCCUGAACAAAAUACAACAGCAACUGUGAAUGAUAAGGAAAUGAAGCUGGAUGAUAAAUUUAUAUUGCAGAAUUUUAACAACAAAUGGAUAUAUAGUACCGUUGUGUGGGAUCACUCAGAGGAAUUGAAGUGCAGCAUUAAAUAUAAAGAGACAGAUUAUGAGGAACAAUCCAUUCUAGAUGAAGAUUCAGAGACAUGCUCACUAGUGUCAGAAGUUAGUUCUUUCUUUGAAACAGAUACAAAGCUAAACUCAUUGUCGUUGACAGCUCUUGGGUUAAGGGUCUUCGUUAUCAAAGCAUUAAUAUUCAACCUACUAAUAACCCUACGACUUUGGUCAUCUUAAGAAUUGUAUAUACGAGGCUACAGAAACAACAUGGCAAAAGAUGAUUUCUCUCAGCAAGCCUAGAAUUUUCAUUUAGGAUCUUCACAUUUUAUUUCUCCCUGAAUAUUAUCUAGAUCUGCCUUCUAUUUACCAACAUUGGACAUUUUUAUGAUAUUGAAAAAUAUGCUAUACAAUGCAAUAAAUGACCACAAUAGCUAUUUUAUGCUAUUACUAUUAUUUUGCAUGUUUCCUGAAUUCUGCAACCCUUUGUCACUUCUAAUUGUCUUGUGUUUGUUUUUUAGUAUUCCAUUUACACCUGUAAUAUAAAUACAUUAGUUAUUAACUGAUGAACACAAAAAUAAAAUACAUAUUCUAAUAGUACAAAUACAUAAUUAUGUACUUAUACAAAUAUUAGAGAGAAAAAAAGAGUAUAUGUAAUGCAUUAUGAUUUUUUUGAAUAAUGUAAAACAUUCUUGAGACAAAUGUAAGAGAAAGGCUACAUGUAGGGUACGGUUCUUGACUGUGUCUAUUUUUUUAGAAGAGUUUGUAAUGACAUUUAUGCAUAUAACAACAACAAAAUAUUCAAGAGUGAAAUAGUAUUUUAAACAUAAUGUAAAUCUCUGAAAUAAAAGAAAAAAAAAAUACUGACAUUAAAUGUACUUUUAGACAUCCAUAGAAUUUUUUUUCCCAGGUUGGUGGACAAAAUAAAUUCCUGAGCAUAAAAUAUCAGUGCAAAAUAAGCAGCAGGAGAGAGUUACUUGUUGUACACAUCUGGUGGUUCCAUGGCAUAAAAAGAGCAAUUCAAGUGGGGGCUUAUGCUUAUACCAAGCAUUUGUCCCCUCUUGCCUCCUAUCCUCACCCAUGAAUGUACUGCAUGUGCACUUCAAACUCCAACUCUCUGAGCAGGCAUGGAGCUUAAGGAUGCACAGGGCAUGCAGAGCAAGUGUUUAUGCUGCUGAAACAAUACAAACUCUUAGAGGUAUUUUUGCUAAUACGAGUAAAUUACAAAUAAGCUUCUAUUCAAAAUUGAAAUGCACUUGUACACAUUUCAAUAUUGGCUGUUAUGUGCCUUAUAAUUAAAUUAACAGGCACAGACAUACAUCUAUAUUUCUAGAUAUACAUUAUCUAUACAUUUUCCGACAUAGCCCACAGAGCUGUAUAGAGUGGUAAUAUGUAUAUCAAUGUCUUAGAUCUCAUGAUACUGAUACUUCUAUAGAAAAAAUAGAUUUUUUUAUUGUAUGAAUAAGAUUUGUAGCUGAUUGUAAUAUUUCGUACUUUAGACUUGGUUACAAACUACCAAGUAGAUUAGUAAAUUUCCAAAUCGUAAGGUUUUUAUUGCACUUUACCACAAAAUGUAAUGUAAUUAGUUGCCCACCUCUGUUUAUAAUUUCCUUUCUUUGUAUAAAUGGUUUCUUUUCUUAGUAUAAUUUCACUUUAACCUUUUUCACUGUGUACAAAAUAUAAAUAUAUAAAGAUUAUAUCAUGUUGUUAUAUACUGCUUGUGGGUAUUGUAUACAUAUUUUCUUUAUGUUUUAAUAAAAUGAUCAUAAAUGAAAUUUGACUGUCAUAAAUUAAUAAAUAAAUAUUUCAGAAUAAA